UUUCAACAGAUUGCAUGGUUACAAACAUUUACUCUUCCUUCGACAGUUUCUAUUGCUGCAAAUAAGACAUUAAGUGCAGCACAGAUAAUUAUGAGUGGUGCAAAACUGACUACAUCUUCUUUCUUUUGGUUCUUCAGACAGUAUUGGUGCCCCAAUUUUCUCUCCCAUAAUAUGUGUUUGUUGCUGUAAAUGAGACAUAACCAGCAGAAGAGUUAAUUUUGGGUAGUACAGAACUAUCUACAUCUUCUCUUCUUUUACAGGUUCAUCAGAUUGCAUGAUUGGUAACAUUUGCUCUCCUAUCGACUGUGUUUGUUGUUGCAAAUGAGACAUUACCUGCAGGAGAGAUAUUUAUGAGCAGUGCAGAGCCAACUACAUCUUUUUUCUUUUGAUUGCAUGGUUGCAAACAUUUACUCUUCUUUGGACUGUGUCUGUUGUUGCAAAUGAGACAUUACAUGCAGAAGAGAUUAUUAUGCUUGCUGCAGAACUAACUAC